rnacentral:rRNA from 1 species
AACGAACGCUGGCGGCAGGCUUAACACAUGCAGGUCGAGCGCGUGGCAACACGAGCGGCAGACGGGUGAGUAACGCGUGGGAACGUACCCUUUACUACGGAAUAACGCAGGGAAACUUGUGCUAAUACCGUAUGUGCCCUUUGGGGGAAAGAUUUAUCGGUAAAGGAUCGGCCCGCGUUGGAUUAGCUAGUUGGUGGGGUAAAGGCCUACCAAGGCGACGAUCCAUAGCUGGUCUGAGAGGAUGAUCAGCCACAUUGGGACUGAGACACGGCCCAAACUCCUACGGGAGGCAGCAGUGGGGAAUAUUGGACAAUGGGCGCAAGCCUGAUCCAGCAAUGCCGCGUGAGUGAUGAAGGCCUUAGGGUUGUAAAGCUCUUUUACCAGGGAUGAUAAUGACAGUACCUGGAGAAUAAGCUCCGGCUAACUCCGUGCCAGCCGCCGCGGUAACAC